rnacentral:lncRNA from 1 species
GAUGUUUAGAUUCACAGAGAUUUGGACAAUGGUUUUCAUUUUAUGAGACCUUACAUAUUGUCAAAUAUUUAUUCAUAUUAUACUAUUCCUGCUUUCUACCUUUUUUUUGAAUUGUAAAUCCAGUGUUAUUUGUCUAUAGGAUGUGGUGCUACAUUAUUGCGCAGGGCUAUACUUGUUUAGCCAACACAUAUCAGAACUUGAUUAGUUGUGCCUCGUUUACAGUCAGAUGCGACCUUGGAGUCCAAUUAGCCUCAAUCUCAAGUACUGCAAGCUAUUUGCUGACUAUCCUUGAAUUGGUCCUCUUCUUUGCUCGUUACCAAGGUCAGCUUUGCUUAGGUUGAUUUAUUUGGAUACAUACCUAAAGGCAGACAUUUGUCAUUCUUAAUUUUUAAGUGAUAUCCAUAUAAACUACCUUAUUUUAUUUCAUGAUGUAUUAUUCAUUGUAAUUGUUAAAUGAAUAAGUACUUUAUCUGCUGAUAUCAGGUGUUUAUGAUAAAGUUGGAGUAUAUUACAAAAAUGGAUGCAUUUAUAUUUAGGUUUAGUCAUAUAUACUAAUUGUUUGUUUGUGCGUAAAUUUGCAGAGCUUGUUUGGUUUUAAAAUAAUAUAUGUGAUUCUUAACUAGAUGGCUUUGUAAUAAUACUUUUUUUGUAUUCGAAGUGUUAAAUUAAAUUUUCUUUAAAUACUACUGAAAUUGGAUAGCUUGUUUGUUGACUUAUAAUCCUUUGUAUCUAAUGUACAUAGGCAUAUGGCGUUUUUUGGUUUCAUGAUACCUUGGAUUUGACUCUAGGCCUACAUAUUGGAGUCGUUCUGAAUUGUUACUGUAUGUAGACCACCAAUGCAGGAACCAUUCCAGAAUUUCUGCACCUUGCGAAUUUCAACCUGACAGCAAAUGAUUCAAAUUCGGUAAGAAGCUCCUUUUUUCUAAGUAGAACCCAAUGCUAAUGCCUGAGCAGCCUCUUUGUAGAUUAUAUUGAUCAUGGUUUGCCUAUUCUAAUCCUUUUGUUGGUGUGUAGUUGUCUUUCCCACGUCUGAUUUGCAGGAUGAAAUAUACUAUGGUCUGUUUGCUAGGGACUCCUAUGGGAACCUUUUAUUUUUUGGGCAAAUACUGAAUACUCAUUCGGUUACCUAACUGAUAGGAUGCUGAAUAUGAAAUUGACACAGAUCUGGCUGUCUAAAUGUCGGUAAUGCUGAAUAUGAAACUGCUUUCUUGGAUGGUAGAGCUUUUAUUUUCUAGAAAAGAUGUUGCUAUGAGGAACUUUCUUGUCACCUUUAUGCCUAUGGUGAAGGUUGGACGGUGCUGUGCUUCAUGCCCUUCUAGUGGAUCAUAUGCAGAACAAUCUUUCACUGGCACCUGGUACAGGCAUAGAUCGCAAAGCAUUAACUUAAACCUCUAAUGAAAGUGAGUUGGAUGAUAAAACAAAUAAUAAAAAGAAUUAUAGAAAUAAUAUCUGAAAUUCAUAUAUAUUUUUGCAAAUUUAGUAUAAAUUUAUAAAGCAUUUCUCUACGUCUGUAUAUUCUUAUAAAUAUUAGAAAUUAUGUGUAUAUUCUAAUAAAUUUACUAUUUGUAUAUGUAUAUUUAAAUUAUUUUUUGCAGUCUUCAUAAAUUUUGUUACUUACAUGAACGUGUAAAAAAAAUAUACAUAUAAAUAGGAAAUUUGUAAAGAUAAAUAUGUCAUACCAUUAAAAUAAAUCUUUAUAUUAGUCUCUUCCUCUCCGCCAAAACAAAGAAAAGAAAAGAAAAAAAACCGAAACUCGUCCUCCCGUGUUUGUUUCUCAUUUUAGUUCUCUACUUUUAUGUUUAGGUAUGGCCAUGGCUGAACAAUCCUCUAUAUUUGC